rnacentral:rRNA from 3 species
GAGUUUGAUCAUGGCUCAGAUUGAACGCUGGCGGCAUGCCUUACACAUGCAAGUCGAACGGCAGCACGGGAGCUUGCUCCUGGUGGCGAGUGGCGAACGGGUGAGUAAUGCAUCGGAACGUAUCCUGGAGUGGGGGAUAACGUAGCGAAAGUUACGCUAAUACCGCAUAUUCUGUGAGCAGGAAAGCGGGGGACCUUCGGGCCUCGCGCUCUUGGAGCGGCCGAUGUCGGAUUAGCUAGUUGGUGAGGUAAAGGCUCACCAAGGCGACGAUCCGUAGCAGGUCUGAGAGGAUGAUCUGCCACACUGGAACUGAGACACGGUCCAGACUCCUACGGAGGCAGCAGUGGGGAAUUUUGGACAAUGGGGGCAACCCUGAUCCAGCCAUGCCGCGUGAGUGAAGAAGGCC